rnacentral:rRNA from 1 species
GACAGAGGAUGCAAGCGUUAUCCGGAAUGAUUGGGCGUAAAGCGUCUGUAGGUGGCUUUUUAAGUCCGCCGUCAAAUCCCAGGGCCCAACCCUGGACAGGCGGUGGAAACUACCAAGCUGGAGUACGGUAGGGGCAGAGGGAAUUUCCGGUGGAGCGGUGAAAUGCGUAGAGAUCGGAAAGAACACCAAUGGCGAAAGCACUUUACUGGGCUAUCACUGACACUGAGAGACGAAAGCUAGGGUAGCAAAUGGG